UACGGAGGGUGCGAGCGUUGUCCGGAAUCACUGGGCGUAAAGGGCGCGUAGGUGGCGACGCAAGUCAACGGUGAAAGCUCGACGCUCAACGUCGAGUCGGCCGUCGAGACUGCGUUGCUCGAGCACUGUAGAGGCAGAUGGAAUUCCGGGUGUAGCGGUGGAAUGCGUAGAGAUCCGGAAGAACACCGGUGGCGAAGGCGGUCUGCUGGGCAGUAGCUGACACUGAGGCGCGACAGCGUGGGGAGCAAACAGG
rnacentral:rRNA from 1 species